rnacentral:rRNA from 1 species
GUCAGCAGCCAUAUCACCCUGCAGCCCAAGACUGGUUACCCACUGAAGCUAAGCAGGGUUGAGCUGGUCAGUACCUGGAUGGGAGACCUCCUGGGAAAACUAGGUUGCUGAUG